GAUGAACGCUGGCGGCGUGCCUAAUACAUGCAAGUCGAGCGAACGGACGAGAAGCUUGCUUCUCUGAUGUUAGCGGCGGACGGGUGAGUAACACGUGGAUAACCUACCUAUAAGACUGGGAUAACUUCGGGAAACCGGAGCUAAUACCGGAUAAUAUUUUGAACCGCAUGGUUCAAAAGUGAAAGACGGUCUUGCUGUCACUUAUAGAUGGAUCCGCGCUGCAUUAGCUAGUUGGUAAGGUAACGGCUUACCAAGGCAACGAUGCAUAGCCGACCUGAGAGGGUGAUCGGCCACACUGGAACUGAGACGCGGUCCAGGCUCCUACGGGAGGCAGCAGUAGGGAAUCUUCCGCGAUGGGCGAAAGCCUGACGGAGCAACGCCGCGUGAGUGAUGAAGGUCUUCGGAUCGUAAAACUCUGUUAUUAGGGAAGAACAUAUGUGUAAGUAACUGUGCACAUCUUGACGGUACCUAAUCAGAAAGCCACGGCUAACUACGUG
rnacentral:rRNA from 1 species